AUCUUCUUUAACUCAGCACAUCAAAAUGGAGGUUCGAUACUUCGAUCUGAGAUAAUCUAAAAAGUGAGAGUAAUUGAUGGUAUCUGAUUUCUUUAUCAUCGAUCCAUCUAUCAAUUUUCCGACCAUGGUUUCACCGUCUAAUAACUCUUAGAUUAAUGGACAAACUUAACUAUCCCUUUAAAGACUACUAUCUUCGUCCUAUAUCUGACGCCGAAGCGGGGGAGCUUCUCGGGACAGCUGAGGAGGGCGAGAGCUUGUCAUGGUUGAGGAGGUUGAAGAUGAUGAAGAUAGUGAUUCCUAUCUUGACCGAAAUGCAGAGAGGUCUGGAGAUGAGCUUUUUGGUCCUCCUUCCAAGCUUCAGAAGACUUUCCAGCCUAUCUUUGCAUCUUAUGGGAGUGUUGGAGCCUUUACCCCUUAUAGCUAGGGAGGGCAUACUAAAGAUCAGAUUACUUCACCCGCACUGAUGUUUCUUACCUCUCCAUCUACCCAGACUACGUCAGCACCUUCUUCUUCUUCCUUCUUACUUGGUGCUGCUUCCGGUCCUAACUUUCCUAUCUUUGCUAACCGUAUUGUGGAGAAGAGUUAUUUUUUCCAGUUCUAGGUCAUCUCUUCGCGUGGACUCUUUUUCUCCUGAGCAUGUGUAUGCCAUAAAUCGUCAUGCUGAGGCUAGGGUGAAAGUUAGCUCUCCUACUGCCCCCUUUCAGCCUUCGUGGGCGAGGUCUACUCUUGUUCCGACAAAAGCCGCGAGUUUAAUAGGUCCAUUGGGAACCUAUAUUAUGCUCAUCCGACAUUGAUUAAGGUUAAAGAUGAUGGUCAGAAUCCCGAGCACGUGAAGAAGCUUUUAGAGGCCAUGAUUCCCCUCAUUCUUUUUGCUGAGGCUGGCUUUAGAGAUAUCUCUGAGCUCUCCCGUCUUUAGUAUGUCCACACCCUUAAUUGUGUUGCAAGUGUGUGGCAUUUCAGACUGCUGCCUUAGGUAAGAUUGACUCACUGACUCAUGAGAUGGAGAGACUCCAGAGAGAGUUGUCUUCUCGUGAUACUAGGCUUGCUUCCCUCUCUAAGGACUUAGACGAAGAAAAGCUUGUUUGUACUCGUCUUAGGGAGGAGAGAGAGAAGAUUGAUUCUGAGCUUCAGUUAGUGAGAGAUGCUCUUGAGUCUUUUACUCAAGAGAAUGAGAGGAUUGUAGAGAGAUUUUCUCAGUUGGAGAGUAAGACUAAUCUUCUAGAGGUUGGCAUGGCUUACAAGGCGAAAAAGCUUAUGACCUUAGGAAGAAGAAUAAGGAUUCAGACUCUACGUUGGAGGUCCAGGCUAGUGACAUUGACCAUAUGAGAUCUUUACUGAGUUCUUUUCCUCGGUUUUUAAGGACCUACUGAGUCAUCCAGAUGUGAAGCAGACUUUUGCCCACUUUAUGCUUGCUGCCAUCAAUUUUGGCCAUUAUGAGGGUUCUCCCAAGAAGUUAGAUUUCCAUAAGGAUAGUGCAGUCAAGGCUCACCAGCAGAUGAUAGAUAGUGGUAAAUUCUGGGAUGAGCGGCGGUUUCUUAUAUUGAAUGAGGUUGCCUCUCUACUUAGCACGUCCGAGGUUUCCACUAAGGAUGUAUUUGAUCUCAUCAUUAUUCCCCCUAGCAAAGAAGCUUUAGAUGCUGCAUUUAGGUCAAGUGUUCUGCAUCCAGGUGUUCCUCCAGGUGUUCUAGUCAUGCCUUCUUCUCGAUCUCCUGAUGUCUCAGCUACCUCUGCCUCGACUUCAAUGGCCUGCAUUGAUUCCCCUACUCAGGGUAGCCCUUGUCGUUGUGUUAUCUUUGGGGAGAUGUUCCUUUUGUUAAAAAGGAAUCAUUGGUUUACAUUUGGCCUUCGAGACAAUAAGAGAACGCUUAUGGAUACUCCCAAUAAGGUUCCCAUGUGGCGGUUUGACUAGUUUGUAGAUGAUACCUUUAUUCCGGAAGUCGAAGGUUGCAUUUCGCCUUGGUAGGAAAGUGGACGACAAAGAAAUGAAUAAAGCAGCUAAUGCUAAGGUUCCAAAGGCAAUGCUCAAUAAGGAAUGUUAUGACAUACUUUGCUCCCUUCCUACCAUUCCAUAUAGUUAUUACCCUGAGGGUAUGUUGCCCAUGACUUAGAUUAGCCCGGAUUGGGAUUGGACUAGGAUCCUCAUACUUAGGAAGAAAUCCACGGGUGAAUGUAAAAUUUCAAUCCUUAUUAUUAUUGUCAUGUAUGUUUACUAUAUUUUCUUGCUUUCUAACUUUAUAAUUUUUAUUUUUCA